ensembl:lncRNA
GUGGCGAUGUGGUAACGUCUCUGGUCCUGUGCUCAGGGGUUGCUGGUUCGAAUCCAACUCGGCCCUAUGUUUAUGUUAUGUUUGGUUCACGUCUGUGCUGUUUCCCCUUUAGGGCAGGGUUACGUAUAUGAAGGUGAAAAGGUCUAUAAAACAAGCUCCUUGUACGAGAUCCUGUAGCUCAUGUGGAUGAGCAUCGCCGGCUGGGUUGAGAGAUUGCUGGUUCAAACCCCAGCCAGGAUUCAAGGAUAUGGGUGUAGAUGGUCCAGGAAGCAGUGGAAGGCUGGGUGAUGUGGGGAUGGAUGGAUGGAUGGAUGGUGUGAGCUGGUUGUGGGUGAGUAGCAGGGCAGCUCCCCACAGAGGAGGAGCAGAAAGAGGUUAUGAAACUUGAAGAGAAAGGUUCCAUAACCCUCUUACUGUCCACUGCUGGUCCUCGGGGGGCAGAUGCCCGGAUAUUACCCCCCUUGGUCACGCCCUCCGGCCAUCCUGCACCUUCCACGCCACUCGUCCUGGACCUUCCACAUCAAUCAGCCUUCCACUGAUUCCUGAACCUUCCACGCUCUUAUCCUUUCAUCCUGGCUGGCGUUUGAACCAGCAACCACUCAACCCAGAGGGCGAUGCUCAUCCACAUGAGCUACAGGAUCUCGUACAAGAAACCUGUUUUAUAGACCUUUUCACCUUCAUUUAUGUAACCAUGAACUAAGCAUCACACUUCCAGGUCAAAAAAGUGAGACACAUUAACUCCCCAUUCUACAUUUCACCAUCCAGCACACUGCACCCAAGCUGGGUUUGAACCAACAGCCUCCCACUCCAGAGAGCACAACGUCACCACACCACCACCA